UACGGGGGGGGCGAGCGUUGUUCGGAAUUACUGGGCGUAAAGGGUUUGUAGGUGGUCUGCUAAGUCAGACGUGAAAUCCCUCAGCUUAACUGGGGAACUGCGUCUGAUACUGGCGGACUUGAGGACAGGAGAGGAACGCGGAAUUCCAGGUGUAGCGGUGAAAUGCGUAGAUAUCUGGAGGAACACCGGUGGCGAAGGCGGCGUUCUGGACUGUUUCUGACACUGAGGAGCGAAAGCCAGGGGAGCAAACGGG
rnacentral:rRNA from 1 species